CCUACGGGAGGCAGCAGUAGGGAAUCUUCGGCAAUGGACGGAAGUCUGACCGAGCAACGCCGCGUGAGUGAAGAAGGUUUUCGGAUCGUAAAGCUCUGUUGUAAGAGAAGAACGAGUGUGAGAGUGGAAAGUUCACACUGUGACGGUAUCUUACCAGAAAGGGACGGCUAACUACGUGCCAGCAGCCGCGGUAAUACGUAGGUCCCGAGCGUUGUCCGGAUUUAUUGGGCGUAAAGCGAGCGCAGGCGGUUAGAUAAGUCUGAAGUUAAAGGCUGUGGCUUAACCAUAGUACGCUUUGGAAACUGUUUAACUUGAGUGCAAGAGGGGAGAGUGGAAUUCCAUGUGUAGCGGUGAAAUGCGUAGAUAUAUGGAGGAACACCGGUGGCGAAAGCGGCUCUCUGGCUUGUAACUGACGCUGAGGCUCGAAAGCGUGGGGAGCAAACAGGAUUAGAUACCCUGGUAGUCCACGCCGUAAACGAUGAGUGCUAGGUGUUAGACCCUUUCCGGGGUUUAGUGCCGCAGCUAACGCGUUAAGCACUCCGCCUGGGGAGUACGACCGCAAGGUUGAAACUCAAAGGAAUUGACGGGG
rnacentral:rRNA from 1 species